GAACACCUUUUCAUAUGACUAGAAAUGGUUUUAUUUUCUUCUUCUGAAAAUUGUCUGUUCAUAUCCUUUGACCAUUUAUCAAUUGGAGAAUUGCACAUGUUUAACCUAUAUUGGAUUGCUUGCUAUCUAGGGGAGGAGAAAAAUUGGAACACAAGGUUUUGCAAAGAUGACUGUUGAUGGUUUGUGAUGAAGAAAGCUAUCUGCACCCAGAGAGAGGAAUGUGGGAACUGAAUGUGGAUCACAAUGUGAUGAGCAAAAUGCAGUGCAAUGGGGGGAAGGGAGCCUUGCUCAAAGACACACCAUUAGGAAACAGCAGAGUUGGGAGAUGGCCCUGGUCCUUUGGCCCCAAAGCCAUCACUCUCUAUGCUACUUCUCGCUCUGUUUAACUUCCCCCGGGCUGGACAGUUCUUGUGGGUCUCCCGCCUGGGAGGGGGCUGGAUCCCUGCUGCAGUUGUCGGAGGAGCAUGGGCACACUCUGAUCCACUGGAAGCACGAGCAUGAGGAAGCUGGACCAGAUGCUCUCUGAGGUUCCUUCCAACAUAAGAGUGAGAGGACAUGAUACUGUCUUUAAGAAUUUGAAGUCGCGGAUGUAGAAGGUUCAAACUUUUUUCUACUUGGCUUCAGAAGACAAUGAGGAGCAAUGGAUAGAAAUUGCACAUUCAAGGAUUCAGGCUUAAAAUACAGUCUAAUAAUGAGACUUGCCCCAAAGUGGAAUGAACUGUCUUAACAUUUAGUAAUCGACCUGUCACCAGAAGUCCUCAAGCAAAAUUGGUUAAGCAACAUUUGUUAAAUGUAUUGUAACAGGAAAUCUUGGUUUCCUCCAACUUUGAAGGUCUAUGAUUCUAAGUUAUUUCUGGGAGACUCAAAGUCCUUAACUAUAAAAUGAGGAAGUUGGAUGAGAUGAUCUCUAAGACUCAUCCUCAUAUUAAAGGUUUAUGAUUCUCUGAAUAUCUGCUCAUUAUAAAAAUUAUGUAACAAGAUUUUUGUGAUAAUAAAUAAUAAAACAAAUAACAAU